GUGUCAGCAGCCGCGGUGAUACGUAGGGGGCUAGCGUUAUCCGGAUUUACUGGGCGUAAAGGGUGCGUAGGCGGUCUUUCAAGUCAGAAGUUAAAUUCUACGGCUCAACCGUAGCCAGCUUUUGAAACUGGAAGACUUGAGUGCGGGAGAGGAGAGUAGAAUUCCUAGUGUAGCGGUGAAAUGCGUAGAUAUUAGGAGGAAUACCAGUAGCGAAGGCGGCUCUCUGGACUGUAACUGACGCUGAGGCACGAAAGCGUGGGGAGCGAACAGGAUUAGAUACCCUGGUAGUCCACGCCGUAAACGAUGAGUACUAGGUGUCGGGGGUUACCUUUUUCGGUGCCGCAGCUAACGCAUUAAGUACUCCGCCUGGGGAGUACGCUCGCAAGAGUGAA
rnacentral:rRNA from 1 species